rnacentral:rRNA from 1 species
GAGAGUUUGAUCCUGGCUCAGAUUGAACGCUAGCGGGAUGCCUUACACAUGCAAGUCGAACGGCAGCACGGACUUCGGUCUGGUGGCGAGUGGCGAACGGGUGAGUAAUGUAUCGGAACGUGCCCAGUAGCGGGGGAUAACUACGCGAAAGCGUAGCUAAUACCGCAUACGCCCUACGGGGGAAAGCAGGGGAUCGCAAGACCUUGCACUAUUGGAGCGGCCGAUAUCGGAUUAGCUAGUUGGUGGGGUAACGGCUCACCAAGGCGACGAUCCGUAGCUGGUUUGAGAGGACGACCAGCCACACUGGGACUGAGACACGGCCCAGACUCCUACGGGAGGCAGCAGUGGGGAAUUUUGGACAAUGGGGGAAACCCUGAUCCAGCCAUCCCGCGUGUGCGAUGAAGGCCUUCGGGUUGUAAAGCACUUUUGGCAGGAAAGAAACGUCGCGGGUUAAUACCCCGCGAAACUGACGGUACCUGCAGAAUAAGCACCGGCUAACUACGUGCCAGCAGCCGCGGUAAUACGUAGGGUGCAAGCGUUAAUCGGAAUUACUGGGCGUAAAGCGUGCGCAGGCGGUUCGGAAAGAAAGAUGUGAAAUCCCAGAGCUUAACUUUGGAACUGCAUUUUUAACUACCGGGCUAGAGUGUGUCAGAGGGAGGUGGAAUUCCGCGUGUAGCAGUGAAAUGCGUAGAUAUGCGGAGGAACACCGAUG